rnacentral:rRNA from 1 species
AACGAACGCUGGCGGCAUGCCUAACACAUGCGAGUCGAACGAGACCUUCGGACCUAGUGGCGCACGGGUGUGUAACGCGUGGGAACCUGCCCUUAGGUUCGGAAUAACACCCCGAAAGGGGUGCUAAUACCGGAUAAUGUCUUCGGACCAAAGAUUUAUCGCCUUUGGAUGGGCCCGCGUUGGAUUAGCUAGUUGGUAGGGUAAAAGCCUACCAAGGCGACGAUCCAUAGCUGGUCUGAGAGGAUGAUCAGCCACACUGAGACUGAGACACGGCCCAGACUCCUACGGGAGGCAGCAGUGGCGAAUCUUGGACAAUGGGCUAAAGCCUGAAUCAGCACUGCCGCGAGAGUGAUGAAGGCCUUAAGGUUGUACAGCUCUUUUACCCGGGAGGAUUAUGACAGUACCCGGAGAAUAAGCACCGGCUAACUCCGUG